GCCCCGAGCCAACCAGCGGAGGAGGCGGGGUCUCGCGCUGCGCGUCUCCGGCCGGGCGGGGCUGUGGGGGGGGGGCGACGCAGCUGUUAGCUCCGCCUCCUCGCUGCGCCCCUAGGCUUCAGACCCCCGCACCUUGGAGCUGCAGCUCCCGCCUUUUCUUCCUCACUUAGCGGCGGAGCAAGCUUUCCAGACUCGUCAGUGGCUUUUUUGGGGGAUAAAGACACAAAUCCUCGCUGGGCCCCGAAGCCCUGGGGACCCGAGCCCUGCGGCCUCCCGGCCUCCCCCCUCCUCUUCCCCGCCCGCCCCUCCGCCCCAGCCAUCCUGGCCUUCUGCCGCACCCUACCUUGCCCCGGGCUUUGGCCCAGCCUGCGCCCCGGGCCUAGCCAGUCCUGCUCCCCGGGCCUAGCCACUCCUACCCCCCCGCUCCCCCUCCGCCUUCUCCAGCCCCAGUCUCUCCUCUGCUGCAGCUGCCCUCCCCAGCUCCGCGCACCCGGGCCAAUUCCCAGAUCAAGGCCCGGGGGAAAUUUGGCUCUCGCCGCCGCCUCCGGGGUCCACAGCCCCACCCCCCGUCAUGUGAUCAAGAACAGGCCUUGCUUCCCCGGACUCCAGUGGCUCAGCUCUGACCCCACCACUGCCCUGAGGAACCCCAGAUGCGGAGCCUUGAGUUCAAACCCAGCCCUCUAACGGACACAUCUGUGGCCGCCCUGGGAGAUCAGCCCAUUCGUGUGCUUGCAAAACAGCCCAGCCUGCUUUGGGAGAACGCUGCUGAUUUGCCAGCAUGAGCUGGGGCUGCUUGGUGGACGUUGAACCUCCCCUGCCCUCCCUGCAAGCUUUCCGUUUUCUCCUGCAUGCAAUGGAGGGAAUGGUGCCCAGCCCUUGGGAUGACUGGAAGACACCUGGCACCAAGCCAGCAGCCCCCUGAAGCCUUUUUAGACUCUGUUCUACCAUCCACUUCCGAUUCCCAAGCACUCACCUACGUGCCCCAGCCAGAUCCAACUGCCACAGCUUGCCCGAGCAGACGGCAGCACCUGGCCACAGCUCAGCACCUGCUCACACACCUGCUGGCCCUGGGCUAGCCCUGCCGUCGGCACAGCUGCCUGCCCACCCACUGUCACUCACGUCUGUUUGGAACUACCAUUUCCGGCAUUUCCUGUGCUCUGGCCGACUUGGUGAGAGAGAGGCGACCCCUGGCCUCUGGGCUCAUGAAUUCCUGGGUAAGUCAGUGACCAGCCUCCGGGCUGGUGUCUGUCUUCCACGAGGAUGGCCUCCAUGAUCAGCUGAGCCCACCUGCCGCAGAGGCCCCCUGUCUCAGAUCCCGGCCCGGCCCUGCUGAGGAGUGCUCCUCAGAGU
ensembl:lncRNA